GUCCCCUUCGUCUAGAGGCCUAGGACACCGCCCUUUCACGGCGAUAACAGGGGUUCGAAUCCCCUAGGGGACG
rnacentral:tRNA from 1 species